CAACAGGGAUUGCCUCAGUAACGGCGAGUGAAGCGGCAACAGCUCAAAUUUGAAAUCUGGCCCCAGGCCCGAGUUGUAAUUUGCAGAGGAUGCUUUUGGUGCGGUGCCUUCCAAGUUCCCUAGAACGGGACGCCAGAGAGGGUGAGAGCCCCGUACAGUUGGACACCAAGCCUUUGUAAAGCUCCUUCGACGAGUCGAGUAGUUUGGGAAUGCUGCUCAAAAUGGGAGGUAUAUUUCUUCUAAAGCUAAAUACCGGCCAGAGACCGAUAGCGCACAAGUAGAGUGAUCGAAAGAUGAAAAGCACUUUGAAAAGAGGGUUAAACAGCACGUGAAAUUGUUAAAAGGGAAGCGCUUGUGACCAGACUUGCGUCCGGUGAAUCACCCAGCUCUCGCGGCUGGGGCACUUCGCCGGCUCAGGCCAGCAUCAGCUCGCUGUCGGGGACAAAAGCUUCAGGAACGUAGCUCUCUUCGGGGAGUGUUAUAGCCUGUUGCACAAUACCCUUCGGCGGGCUGAGGUACGCGCUCCGCAAGGAUGCUGGCAUAAUGGUCAUCAGCGACCCGUCUUGAAACACGGACCAAGGAGUCAACCUUAUGUGCGAGUGUUCGGGUGUCAAACCCCUACGCGUAAUGAAAGUGAACGCAGGUGAGAGCUUCGGCGCAUCAUCGACCGAUCCUGAUGUUCUCGGAUGGAUUUGAGUAAGAGCAUAUAGGGUUGGACCCGAAAGAAGGUGAACUAUGCGUGUAUAGGGUGAAGCCAGAGGAAACUCUGGUGGAGGCUCGCAGCGGUUCUGACGUGCAAAUCGAUCGUCAAAUAUGCGCAUGGGGGCGAAAGACUAAUCGAA
rnacentral:rRNA from 1 species